UACGGGGGGGGCAAGCGUUGUUCGGAAUUACUGGGCGUAAAGGGCGCGUAGGCGGCCACCGCAAGUCAAUUGUGAAAUCUCCGGGCUUAACUCGGAAAGGUCAACUGAUACUGCGGGGCUAGAGUGCGGAAGGGGCAACUGGAAUUCUCGGUGUAGCGGUGAAAUGCGUAGAUAUCUGGAGGAACACCGGUGGCGAAGGCGGCAUCCUGGACCGGCAUUGACGCUGAGGCGCGAAAGCCAGGGGAGCAAACGGG
rnacentral:rRNA from 1 species